rnacentral:rRNA from 1 species
UACGGAGGGUGCAAGCGUUAUCCGGAUUCACUGGGUUUAAAGGGUGCGUAGGAGGACUGGUAAGUCAGUGGUGAAAUCCCCGAGCUUAACUUGGGAACUGCCGUUGAUACUAUCAGUCUUGAAUACCGUGGAGGUGAGCGGAAUAUGUCAUGUAGCGGUGAAAUGCUUAGAUAUGACAUAGAACACCAAUUGCGAAGGCAGCUCGCUACACGAAUAUUGACUCUGAUGCACGAAAGCGUGGGGAUCAAACAGG